rnacentral:lncRNA from 1 species
GGAGCGUGUGCCCGCGCAGCACCUCAAGCAGCUGGCGGCGGACACAGAGGUGUUCAAGAUCCUGCCGCCAGGAGUGCAGCGGCAGGUGGGCGCGUGUGCGUGCUUGGGUGUGUAACUGUGUGUUUUGGGGGGUGGGGGGUGGGGGCGGGGGAGAGGGGAAACGUGUGGGUGUGGGGACGGGGUGGGAGAGGGAGGGUGAGAGGGUGAGAGGGGGCGUUAGGAACUGUCAGCUCGUCAUGGGGGGCGUGUGUGUUCUUGCUUGCGCAUGCGCGUGUGUGCAUGCACUGUGUCGACUGUCGACCCGUUCCCCCUGUGCUUCAAUCACUCCUGCACACACGGCGCACACACGCCCUCCACCCCUGCCACAGCAACCAUGAAUGCACCCCAACCCCCCAAACCCCAACCCCCCAACCUCCACACACCCCCAAUCCCCCCACACAAUCCCUCCCCACACACAAACCCCCGCCCACAGGUGUGGGAGUACGACAAGAACCUGCUGCAGGCGGACGCGCUGCCGCUGGUGGGCGCCUACAAGUACGAGACCGCCACUUACAUGCGCUGCCUGGCGCUGGACGAGUUCCUGCCCGCCGUGCUGGCGGCGGGGCGGCGGCUGGCGCUGCAGCUGCUGAGUCAGGGGCCGGCGUCGUCG